AAGAUAGAAACGCGUGGCAAGUCGGCUGCCUUUUGUCCAUUUCUAGAAGAUGAGGAAGACCAGAACCCCUUCCCUCGUUUCUAGAAUUCUAAAAUUCUAACACCACAGCAAAAUAGAGAGACACAGACAGGAACAGAGUGGCUGACAUGAUGCGAUCAAAUUCACCCCUUAUCAUAUUUUCAUCAGAAAUGCCCCUCCACGCAGCUAUUUCCCUUUCCCUUCUCUCUUGAAAACCAAAUCUGAGAAUCUCUGCCAAGCGGGAGACACUGGUGGGAACUGAAAUUAGCAAUAAUGGGGAAAUCAAAGUCACCAGGUGGGCUCUUUGUUCUGUUCUUGAUCACGGUGGCUGUCCUGUCUCAGCACCCAGCACCUGCACGUGCAAGGCCAAUCCUGCAACUCUCACUUGAGCACAGGUAUUGGAGGGUCUUGGGGGGUCUUGGGAUGGUGUGCAAGUGCUGCGAUGGAGAAAGUUGCAGUAGUACCUUGGCGGAGUCGGAUUGCCCUUUCAAGCUUCAAUGCCUGCCUUGGAAAUUUCAGUGAUAUGUAUUUUUACUUUUUCCUUUUUUUUUUUUUCUUUUGAUAAGGUAUGCAGAUGUAAUCUUAUGUACACCACGAAGUACGUAUACUAAAUGUAUAACUCUGCUUUGCCAUGUACUUUUGUGACCUUUAUGGGUCCUUCUGAGGCUAAGUUAGUUUGAUUAUUGGUACUAUAUACUAUUGCUAGAGAGUAAAGGGUGUAAGAUUGUGUAUAUAAACACAUUUGGAUAAUUGAAGAGCCCUAAAAAAGCAGAGGCCGCUAGUUCCUGCAA